GGUUCCUAAAACCACCGCGUGGCGCGUGGUUUCAAAAACCACGCGCCGCGCGUGGUUUUAAGAAGGAAGUGGCCAACGGGCCACUUCUUUCAAAAAAAAAAAAAAUUGCUGUGGCCGACAGGCCACAGCUUCUUUUUCUUUUUUAAUGGGAAAGGAAGUGGCCUCCGGCCACUCCUUCCCAUUAAAAAACAAGGAAGUGGCCUCCGGCCACUUCUUUCCCUUCAAAUCAACGAAAGAAGUGGCCGAAAGGCCACUUCUUUUCUGUUAAUAUGGGAUUAACAGCACGAUCUUAAGCCUCUCGUUCGGUUAUAAAAACCGAACGAAGCUCACUUCUUUCCCAAACAAUUUGAGGUUGAGAGGUUCUAUUUAAGGUGCGGAGACGGAAAGAUUUGAGAGAUAGCGAGGAGGAGGUCCUGCCCAAAAAAUCCAGCGGAGACUAUUUAAGGUGCGGUUUUUUUAUCCUAUAUUAUUUCAUUAAUUUUGUUAAUAAUUUACUU